rnacentral:rRNA from 1 species
GGUAUCAGAAGUGCGAAUGCUGACGUGAGUAACGACAAAACGGGUGAAAAACCCGUUCGCUGAAAGACCAAGGGUUCCAGUCCAACGUUAAUCGGGGCUGGGUGAGUCGACCCCUAAGGCGAGGCCGAGAGGCGUAGUCGAUGGGAAAUUGGUUAAUAUUCCAAUACUUCUGUGUAAUGCGAUGAGAGGACGGAGAAGGUUAAGUCAGCCUGGCGUUGGUUGUCCAGGUGGAAGGCUGUAGGCAUGCAUCUUAGGCAAAUCCGGGGUGCUCUAUGCUGAGAGCUGAUAGCAAGCUGUACUUGUACAGUGAAGUGGCUGAUACCAUGCUUCCAGGAAAAGUCUCUAAGCUUCAGUUACACAGGAAUCGUACCCUAAACCGACACAGGUGGUCAGGUCGAGUAGACCAAAGCGCUUGAGAGAACUCUGCUGAAGGAACUAGGCAAAAUGGUACCGUAACUUCGGGAGAAGGUACGCUGCUGACGGUGAUUUCCCUUGCGGAAUGAGCUAUUGGCAGCCACAGAAACCAGGCCGCUGCAACUGUUUAUUAAAAACAUAGCACUCUGCAAACACGAAAGUGGACGUAUAGGGUGUGAUGCCUGCCCGGUGCUGGAAGGUUAAUUGAUGGGGUUAGCGUAAGCGAAGCUCUUGAUCGAAGCCCCAGUAAACGGCGGCCGUAACAAUAACGGUCCUAAGGUAGCGAAAUUCCUUGUCGGGUAAGUUCCGACCUGCACGAAUGGCAUAAUGAUGGCGGCGCUGUCUCCAGCAGAGGCUCAGUGAAAUCGAAUUCGCCGUGAAGAUGCGGUGUACCCGCGGCUAGACGGAAAGACCCCGUGAACCUUUACUGCAGCUUGACAUUGAACUUUGACCUUACUUGUGUAGGAUAGGUGGGAGGCUUUGAAGUUGGAACGCUAGUUCCAAUGGAGCCGUCCUUGAAAUACCACCCUGGUAAUGUUGAGGUUCUAACUCUGCCCCGUAAUCCGGGGCGAGGACCAUGUCUGGUGGGUAGUUUGACUGGGGCGGUCUCCUCCUAAAGAGUAACGGAGGAGUACGAAGGUGCGCUCAGAACGGUCGGAAAUCGUUCGAAGAGUAUAAAGGCAAAAGCGCGCUUAACUGCGAGACCCACAAGUCGAGCAGGUACGAAAGUAGGUCUUAGUGAUCCGGUGGUUCUGUAUGGAAGGGCCAUCGCUCAACGGAUAAAAGGUACUCUGGGGAUAACAGGCUGAUACCGCCCAAGAGUUCAUAUCGACGGCGGUGUUUGGCACCUCGAUGUCGGCUCAUCACAUCCUGGGGCUGUAGCCGGUCCCAAGGGUAUGGCUGUUCGCCAUUUAAAGUGGUACGUGAGCUGGGUUUAAAACGUCGUGAGACAGUUUGGUCCCUAUCUGCCGUGGGCGUUGGAAGUUUGAAGGGGGCUGCUCCUAGUACGAGAGGACCGGAGUGGACGCAUCACUGGUGUUCGGGUUGUCAUGCCAAUGGCACUGCCCGGUAGCUAAAUGCGGAAGAGAUAAGUGCUGAAAGCAUCUAAGCACGAAACUUGCCCCGAGAUGAGUUCUCCCUGACCCUUUAAGGGUCCUGAAGGAACGUUGAAGACGACGACGUUGAUAGGCCGGGUGUGUAAGCGCAGCGAUGCGUUGAGCUAACCGGUACUAAUGAACCGUGAGGCUUAACCUU